rnacentral:rRNA from 1 species
CCUCCCCGACUGUUUACAAAAACACAGCACCUUUGCCAACUCGUAGACGGAGAGUAUAAGGUGUGACGCCUGCCCGGUGCUCGAAGGUUAAGAGGAUGCGUCAGUCGCAAGAUGAAGCGUUGAAUUGAAGCCCGAGUAAACGGCGGCCGUAACUAUAACGGUCCUAAGGUAGCGAAAUUCCUUGUCGGUUAAAUACCGACCUGCAUGAAUGGCGUAACGAGAUGGGAGCUGUCUCAACCAGAGAUUCAGUGAAAUUGUAGUGGAGGUGAAAAUUCCUCCUACCCGCGGCAAGACGGAAAGACCCCGUGGACCUUUACUACAACUUAGCACUGCUAAUGGGAAUAUCAUGCGCAGGAUAGGUGGGAGGCUUUGAAGUAAGGGCUUUGGCUCUUAUGGAGCCAUCCUUGAGAUACCACCCUU